GUGGCUCCGAUUGUGGUAGGGCCCUCGGUCGAUCUUUUCUACCUUCAGGCUGACAUUGAAUGAAUCUAUCAAGCCGACUUCGUCUGAUGAGCUCCUCGAUCUCAUCUCGGAGCUGAAUACACUCCUCCAUGUCGUGACCGUGGUCACGAUGAUAGAAGCAAAACUUGUUAGGGUUGCACUUCUCGGGGUGUGUGUGCAUCCUUUCUGGCCUUAGCAGCUACUCCCUGACCUCCAUCAGCACUUGAGCUUUUGGAGCAUUGAGGGGGGCAUAGCUGUGAAAUCUUCAUGGGGGAUAGCUCCGUCGAACCCUACGGUCCGGGCUCCUC
rnacentral:lncRNA from 1 species